rnacentral:rRNA from 1 species
AUGAUCUGUAUAAGCUGGAACUGCCGGGGGCUUGGGAACCCCGAGGCAGUUCGAGAGCUUCGCCGACUGGUGAAGCAAGAAGGUCCUGCCCUGCUGUUCGUCAUGGAAACCAAAAUCAGGGCCAAGAGAGUAGAAGACCUGCGAUACCAACUGGGUUUUGCAGGCUGCUUUGCUGUUGAUAGUGUUGGAUUGAGCGGAGGAAUAUGCCUUUUU